CCUUACAAUUCAUGCCACAUUUGG
rnacentral:siRNA from 1 species